rnacentral:lncRNA from 1 species
ACACAUCGAAACCUGCCACCAUAGAACAAUGUCUCUCAACUCUCUCAUUAAUCCUUCUUUAAGUUGUCUAUCACACGGACAAUAACUAUUCACCAAGCAUCAUCUAAAUCCAUUAAUUAUUGAUUCCAAAAUUACCACGAGGGAGUAUCUCCCUACCCAAAUGUCGUACACACUACAGACAUAACUAUCCCAAGCUGUGACUAGACCGCCGACGCCCCUCCCAAAUCUUUUGCAACCCAAUCAACUUGUCGAUUACCCCAAACAAAGAAAACAUCAGACUCUAAACAUUGUUGCCACUUCGUCUCCUGCAAGCAUAAAAUGUACAUCGUCCACAAUGCAAAUAACUAUCUAACUCUGACCUUCUUUCGAGCAUCCCCUAAUCUUAUAAUAUUCUAGCAUAACGACUUGACAUUCAUAGGAAAUAAUGGAAAACGGGCCAUUUAUUACAAUUUUUUGCAGCACCCGUUCCAGCCUCGCAUCGGCCACCUCUUGGUCGCGCAUACUCAGUACCUCCUCGGCAACCCAUCAAACCACACACGCUGCUUCGACCUCAGAAACCCCAAUUUGCACCUCCACUAGUUCUGCCAGACGUAAGCUUCCCUCCAAAACUGAGGCCCUCCCAUCUUCAAGGCUUUCCUCCACCACCAAGGGCUCCUCCUCUUCAAGUUUCCUAACUUCUCCCUCGUCUUCCUCCGACAUUUCUGUUUCCGACUUACUCCAAUCCCCUUCAUCUUCCUCCUCAGAAUCGAUCUCCUUAUUUGAAAGCCUCUUGACAUCCUCCUCGAUGUCACUUACUAUUUCUGAACCGCAUUCCAGAUUGUAAAAGAGACAUUCCUUUGAAGCCCAAUAACUCCUUUGUUAAACC